rnacentral:rRNA from 1 species
AUACGGAGGAUGCAAGCGUUAUCCGGAUUUAUUGGGUUUAAAGGGUGCGUAGGCGGAUGAUUAAGCGUGAGGUGAAAUGCCACUGCUCAACAGUGGAACUGCCUCGCGAACUGGUUGUCUUGAAUGCUCCUGCCGUGGGAGGAAUGUGUGGUGUAGCGGUGAAAUGCAUAGAGAUCACACAGAACACCGAUUGCGAAGGCAUCUCACGAAGGGUUGAUUGACGCUGAGGCACGAAAGCGUGGGGAUCAAACAGGAUUAGAUACCCUGGUAGUCCACGCAGUAAACGAUGAUGGCUAACCGCUGGUUUAUUCGGAUCAGUGGCCAAGCGAAAGCGAUAAGCCAUCCACCUGGGGAGUACGACCGCAAGGUUGAAACUCAAAUGAAUUGACGGGG